rnacentral:rRNA from 1 species
UACGACUACAUAUCAGGCAUAUCAAUAAGCGGAGGAAAAGAAACUAACAAGGAUUCCCUUAGUAACGGCGAGUGAAGCGGGGAGAGCUCAAAUCUGAAAUCUUCAAGGUUCUACCUUGACGAAUUGUAGUUUAAAGAAGUGUUUUCUGUUAGUGGAGUGGCAAAAGUUCUCUGGAAUAGGACAUCAUAGAGGGUGAGAAUCCCGUAUUUGGUCAUUCCUUCUAGCUUUGUGAUACACUUUCAAAGAGUCGGAUUGUUUGGGAAUGCAGUCCAAAAUGGGUGGUAAAUUUCAUCUAAAGCUAAAUAUUGGCGAGAGACCGAUAGCGAACAAGUACCGUGAGGGAAAGAUGAAAAGAACUUUGAAAAGAGAGUUAAACAGUACGUGAAAUUGUCAAAAGGGAAGCGUUUGACACCAGUGUUGUUUUUCCGAAAAUCAAUUAUAAAUGUUUUGUUUCUGAGGAGUGAUGACUUCAUCGGCUUCCUUCUCUCUUCACGAAACUUUUGUAAUGCACUUUUCGGUUAACAAGUCAACAUCAAUUUCUUUUGUUGUAAAAGAGUAUUCGGAAGGUGGCUUUCUUUUCGGAGAAAGUGUUUAUAGCCCUAUACUUCUACAAUCGGAGAGAUUGAGGUCUGCAGCGUAGAUCCUUCGGGGUUAGAUACAUUUGUGCUAAGUUAUAGCUUUUCAUAGACAACUUGUUGACUAUGUUUAGUCUUGUAGCUUACUCGCUUAUGCUAUUUUACCUACGCUUAGGAUGUUGAUCUCUCACAGUCGAGC